rnacentral:ncRNA from 2 species
UAGAAUCUUCAGGGCAGGGUGCAAUUCCCUACCGGUGGUAUAGCCCACGAGCCGCAAGGUAUGAUUCGGUGUAACUCCGAAGCCGACAGUAAAGUCUGGAUGAAAGAAGAUCAAA